rnacentral:rRNA from 1 species
CAGUCGCCACGGUAAUACAGAGGGUGCGAGCGUUAAUCGGAUUUACUGGGCGUAAAGCGUGCGUAGGCGGCUUCUUAAGUCGGAUGUGAAAUCCCUGAGCUUAACUUAGGAAUUGCAUUCGAUACUGGGAAGCUAGAGUAUGGGAGAGGAUGGUAGAAUUACAGGUGUAGCGGUGAAAUGCGUAGAGAUCUGGAGGAAUACCGAUGGCGAAGGCAGCCAUCUGGCCUAAUACUGACGCUGAGGUACGAAAGCAUGGGGAGCAAACAGGAUUAGAUACCCCCGUAGUCCCUGUCUCUUAUAC